rnacentral:rRNA from 1 species
AUCUCUAUUGAAGCAAGAAGACCCCCUGAAUUUAAGCAUAUAAUUAAGGGGAGGAAAAGAAACCAACUCGGAUUCCCCUAGUAAUGGCGAGUGAAGCGGGAAGAGCUCAUGUUGUAAAUCUCCAGCUUGCUGGCGAAUUGUAGUCUAAAGGUGCGUGCUCAGUCGUGGUCCCGGGCUAAGUCUGUUGGAAAACAGCAUCAUGGACGGUGACAAUCCGGUUCUUGCCUGGGGUCCCGCGGCGUACGAGCCGUUUCCGACGAGUCGUGUUGCUUGGGAUUGCAGCACUAAGUGGGUGGUAAAUUCCAUCUAAAGCUAAAUAUUGGUGGGAGACCGAUAGCGAACAAGUACCGUGAGGGAAAGAUGAAAAGACUUUUGAAAAGAGAGUAAAAUAGUACCUGAAACUGCUGAAAGGGAAGCGAUUGAAGUCAGUGUUGCUCCUGGUCUUUUUGCCGUCGCCCCCGUGGGGGUUGCGGCGUGGGGCCUGGAGCGUUUCAACAUGCGUUCUGUUCCGCGGGAAAUGUUCAGUGUGCUGGAACCUUCGGGGAAACGCACUGUUCUUGUCGUGGUUAGGACGGAGGACCUUUGCUCCUUUGACUGCGCGUUCCUCUCUCGGGUAUGCUGGUGUCUACUGCUUGCAGUUUUCAUUUUCAUGCUUGCGACUGUGCGUGUUAUUCAUGAGCGAACAUGAUGUUGAAGAAAUGGCUUUAAUUACCCCGUCUUGAAACACGGACCAAGGAGUCUAACAUGUAUGCGAGCCGGUGGGUUUAACACCCAUGAGACGCAAGUAACCUGACUGGUGGGAUGGCUUAUGCCUGCACCAUCGACCGACCAUGAUCUUCUGUGAAAGGUUUGAGUACGAGCAUACCUGUUGGGACCCGAAAGAUGGUGAACUAUGCCUGAAUAGGGCGAAGCCAGGGGAAACUCUGGUGGAGGCUCGUAGAUGUGCUGACGUGCAAAUCGCUUUUCGGACUUGGGUAUAGGGGCGAAAGACUAAUCGAACCAUCUAGUAGCUGGUUCCCUCCGAAGUUUCCCCCAGGAUAGCUGGAGCUUGAUCAGUUUUAUCGGGUAAAGCGAAUGAUUAGAGGUACCGGGGAUGAAACAUCCUCGACCUAUUCUCAAACUUUAAAUGGGUAAGAACCCGGGGUUGCUUAAUUGAACCCUGCGGUCGAAUCUCGGUUGCUAGUGGGCCAGUCCGGGUAAGCUGGACUGGCGAUGCGGGAUGAUCCGAACGCUGAGUUAAAGUGCCUAACUGCUCGCUCACCUAGAUCCCACAAAAGGUGUUGGUUCAUCCAGACAGCAGGACGGUGGCCAUGGAAGUCGGAACCCGCUAAGGAGUGUGUAACAACUCACCUGCCGAAUGAACUAGCCCUGAAAAUGGAUGGCGCUAAAGCGUGCGACUUAUACUCAGCCAUCAGCGCGAGACGUAUGUGCUGAUGAGUAGGAGGGCGUGAUGCUCGUAUCGAAGCCUUGGGCGUGAGCCUGGGUGAAACGUGCAUUAGUGCAGAUCUUGGUGGUAGUAGCAACUAUUCAAAUGAGAACUUUGAAGACUGAAGCGGAGAAAGGUUCCAUGUGAACAG